GCUGGGAGCUGAGGCGAGUACCUAGACUGGAGCAGGACUGGGGAAAAGAUCAUAGACAGUAUAGCAGCAAGCCAGAACUUUAUUCCCGCCUUGAAGUGGAAGAGUAAAUCUGUUUUCACCAAAAGAUAAAAUGGAACAACAACAAAACAAGCCAUCAGAAUCUCCACUUCCUACAUCCAAUCACGUUGCUAAGGAAACUCUUUGACCGGUACUUAAAAUUCCUCCCUCUUCCUGCACACACACACAACCACAGCGGUAUUUCAGCAGCCCACAAGCAUUAAUGGAUUUAUCUUCACAACAUGUCCAAAACAUAGAUGGAGGUUACUGGCAACUGAUGGACCAUCUCAGAGUCUCAGGAACAUCAAAGGACCUGGCUCUCUACCGCCGAAGCAGAUCAACAGUGAAAGUCUUCACUGGAUCCUUCAAUGGAAUACAGGAAUCAGUUAUAGGUAAUUAUUAAAGUCCUUGGCAAGUGUUAGUGGCCAAAGUCUUGAUCCAAUAACUGCACAAAGAAAUUGGACGUGGCUGCCUCGACGGUGGACAGCCUCUGCAUCAUCGCUGACAGUUCCUUAUAUGCUCUCUGUGGUGCAAAUUGCUAAGGCACGCUCUGGCAGACACUGCCCCCAACCGGUUCCAGCCAGCUCUCAGUCCCUCAAGUUUUGGCGGGAAACAGAGUUUUGGCAGGAAAAUGCCAUGAAGAAAGUAUACCAAGAUGUAGUUCAAAACUUUCCUACCACAUGCGCCAUCUUGAAUUUUUAGACUCCAUUUUGAAUUGCAGCAACAUGUAUUAUAAUACAUAACAAAAGUAUACACCUUACACUCUCAAUUAGAAUAAGGUUUCAGGAUUGUCAUGUGUCUGUAUAUCACUAAGGCCUAGAAUUGCUGUCUAGUCAGUGUGAAGCAAUGAAAACAGCUACAGACAUGGAUGAGGACUUGUUUUGUUCAGAAUAUCACCAGGACGAAUCAUCGCUGGGUUUCAUACUCUGUUACCAUCCAGCAAUGAGGUUCUCAACUAUUUUGACUUUGUGAAUUACACUUGUGCCAUGUAA